rnacentral:rRNA from 1 species
UACAGAGGUCUCAAGCGUUGUUCGGAUUCAUUGGGCGUAAAGGGUGCGUAGGCGGCUUUGCAAGUCGAGUGUGAAAUCCCCAGGCUUAACCUGGGAACUGCAUUCGAGACUGCAUAGCUAGAGUAUGGGAGAGGGAAGUGGAAUUUCAGGUGUAGCGGUGAAAUGCGUAGAUAUCUGAAGGAACAUCAGUGGCGAAAGCGACUUCCUGGACCAAUACUGACGCUCAUGUGCGAAAGCGUGGGGAGCAAACAGG